GAUGAACGCCGGCGGCGUGCUUAACACAUGCAAGUCGACCGGUGAAGGCGGAGCUUGCUCUGCUGUUUCCGUGGCGACCGGGUGAGUAACACGUGCGACAUCUGCCCCUGACUCUGGGCUCAGCGCUGGAACCGUCGUCUCAUCCUGGAUACGAGCUGCGCAGGCAUCUUCCGCAGCUGGCCAGAAUUUCGGUCAGCGAUGAGCUCGCGGCCUCUCAGCUUGUUGGUGCGGUAAUGGCUCACCAAGGCGUCGACGGGUAGCCGGCCUGCGACUGUGACCGGCCACACUGGGACUGAGACACGCCACAGACUCCUACGGGAGGCAGCAGUGGGGAAAAUUGAACAAUGGGCGAAAGCCUUACGCAGCAACGCCGCGUGAGUGACGACAGCUGUCGGGUAGUAGACCUCUUUGAGCAGGUAAGAAGCGAAAGUGGGGGUACCGGCAGAAAAAGCGCCGGCUAACUACGUG
rnacentral:rRNA from 1 species